rnacentral:rRNA from 1 species
CAGCCGCCACGGUAAUACGUAGGUGGCAAGCGUUGUCCGGAAUUAUUGGGCGUAAAGGGCUCGCAGACGGUUUCUUAAGUCUGAUGUGAAAGCCCCCGGCUCAACCGGGGAGGGUCAUUGGAAACUGGGAAACUUGAGUGCAGAAGAGGAGAGUGGAAUUCCACGUGUAGCGGUGAAAUGCGUAGAGAUGUGGAGGAACACCAGUGGCGAAGGCGACUCUCUGGUCUGUAACUGACGCUGAGGAGCGAAAGCGUGGGGAGCGAACAGGAUUAGAUACCCCUGUAGUCCCUGUCUCUUAUAC